AACUUGCUGCAACGUAUCUCUUGGCUCUCCCAUCGAUGAAGAACGCAGCGAAAUGCGAUAAGUAAUGUGAAUUGCAGAAUUCAGUGAAUCAUCGAAUCUUUGAACGCACCUUGCGCCCUUUGGUAUUCCGAAGGGCAUGCCUGUUUGAGUGUCAUUAAAUUCUCAACCUUGCUCGCCUUUACCGGCUUGAGUGAGGCUUGGACGUGAGGGCUUUGCUGGCUUCCUUAAGUGGAUGGUCUGCUCCCUUUAAAUGCAUUAGUGGGAUCUCUUGUGGACCGUCACUUGGUGUGAUAAUUAUCUACGCCUCGUCGACUUUGAAGCAAACUUAUGGGAACCUGCUUAUAACCGUCUCGCAAGAGACAACUUUCUGACAUUUUGACCUCAAAUCAGGUAGGACUACCCGCUGAACUUAAGCAUAUCAAUAAGCGGAGGCU
rnacentral:misc_RNA from 1 species